CUCACCAUGAAACUGAUACUGCUAUUGUAUUUAACCUCAUUUUCUCUCCCUUUUCUUCAGGUAGAGCUUUAGCUCUGAGCAGCUUGGGGCCUUCCUCUGGCCAACAAACCUCAGAAUUGAAAGUUCCUUUAAUUAAAGAGUAUCCAAAGGGAUGGCCCCGUGGUUCUCUCUUCUUGAGCCUCUUUGAGGUGCUGUGCAUGCUGGUCCGGUUGGUCAGGCAAGAAGUCUGUCUUUCAGUGGCCAUCUGGCUGUGGAUCAUCCUGCAAGUCUAUUGUUGGUGAAGGCCUUCAGGCAGUAAAUCUGAUUUCUUGAGCUAUACUUUUCAAAACUGGGAAACCAGAAUCCCAGAUAGACCAGGGAGAGUGAGAAGAAAACGUUCCUGGGGGGUUCUGGAAGGUGGAGGCCUAUAUCCUUAACUUCUGAGAUUGAUUCUGAGAAUGUUAAAGCUAAAAUCAAGCUUAGGUUGCAACCUUGCCUUGGAGAUCUCCCUCCCGAAUUGUGACCU
rnacentral:lncRNA from 1 species